rnacentral:rRNA from 1 species
GGGGAAUAUUGCACAAUGGGCGAAAGCCUGAUGCAGCAACGCCGCGUGAGCGAUGAAGGCCUUCGGGUCGUAAAGCUCUGUCCUCAAGGAAGAUAAUGACGGUACUUGAGGAGGAAGCCCCGGCUAACUACGUG